rnacentral:rRNA from 1 species
UACGUAGGUGGCAAGCGUUGUCCGGAUUUACUGGGCGUAAAGAGCGCGCAGGCGGUCGUUCAAGUCGCGUGUGAAAGCCCCCGGCUCAACUGGGGAGGGUCACGCGAUACUGAUCGACUCGAAGGCAGGAGAGGGAAGUGGAAUUCCCGGUGUAGUGGUGAAAUGCGUAGAUAUCGGGAGGAACACCAGUGGCGAAGGCGGAUCUCUGGGCCGAUACUGACGCUGAGGAGCGAAAGCGUGGGGAGCGAACAGG